rnacentral:rRNA from 1 species
UACGAAGGGGGCUAGCGUUGUUCGGAAUUACUGGGCGUAAAGCGCACGUAGGCGGCGCGACAAGUUAGAUGUGAAAUGCCUGGGCUUAACCUAGGAACUGCAUUUGAAACUGGCGGGCUUGAGUGUGGCAGAGGGGGGUGGAAUUCCGCGUGUAGCAGUGAAAUGCGUAGAGAUGCAGAGGAACACCGAUGGCGAAGGCAGCCCCCUGGGCCAACACUGACGCUCAGGCACGAAAGCGUGGGGAGCAAACAGG